rnacentral:tRNA from 29 species
GCGGGCAUCGUAUAAUGGCUAUUACCUCAGCCUUCCAAGCUGAAGAUGCGGGUUCGAUUCCCGCUGCCCGCUCCA